AGCUUUUUGUAUCCCAGCUGAGAUUUCGUCAGCGAACAACCUGCUGGGGCUGAUGCAACUCCCCAAAUAUGUGAAGUG
rfam:Trichobilharzia regenti genome assembly, scaffold: TRE_scaffold0023576